rnacentral:rRNA from 1 species
UACGAGGGGAGCAAGCGUUGUUCGGAUUUACUGGGCGUAAAGGGCGCGUAGGCGGUCGUGACAAGUCACUUGUGAAAUCUCCGGGCUUAACUCGGAACGGUCAAGUGAUACUGUCGGACUAGAGUACAGAAGGGGCAAUCGGAAUUCUUGGUGUAGCGGUGAAAUGCGUAGAUAUCAAGAGGAACACCUGAGGCGAAGGCGGGUUGCUAGGCUGACACUGACGCUGAUGCGCGAAAGCCAGGGGAGCAAACGGG